CUCAAGAAUGCCUCUACAAUGGACUCUGGGUUUGAUCUAAUCAAAUCUAGUUUUAUUGGGUUCACUAGAUUGUGUUGGUUCAUCAACCUAUCAAACUUUAUCAAGUUCAAUUUUAAAGACAUCAGUUCCUUCACUAAGAAACUUCUUUUUUAAAAAGAAUACCUUAUUACUGACGAACAACCUUUGCUCUUCAGCAAGGUAGAAGCAAUACCCCUUAGUUUUGUUGAAAUAUCCUACAAAAUAAUACUUAUUGGAUCGAGGUCCAAGCUUAUCGAUCUGCAAACACUUGACAUAAGCUGGACAUCCCCAAACUUUAAGAGAGUAUCGGUAUGUCCUGUCCAU
rnacentral:lncRNA from 1 species